rnacentral:rRNA from 1 species
AUUGAACGCUGGCGGCAUGCUUUACACAUGCAAGUCGAACGGCAGCACGGGCUUCGGCCUGGUGGCGAGUGGCGAACGGGUGAGUAAUGCAUCGGAACGUGCCCAUGUUGUGGGGGAUAACUACGCGAAAGCGUGGCUAAUACCGCAUACGCCCUGAGGGGGAAAGCGGGGGAUUCUUCGGAACCUCGCGCAAUUGGAGCGGCCGAUGUCAGAUUAGCUUGUUGGUGAGGUAAAGGCUCACCAAGGCGACGAUCUGUAGCGGGUCUGAGAGGAUGAUCCGCCACACUGGGACUGAGACACGGCCCAGACUCCUACGGGAGGCAGCAGUGGGGAAUUUUGGACAAUGGGGGCAACCCUGAUCCAGCCAUGCCGCGUGAGUGAAGAAGGCCUUCGGUUGUAAGACUCUUCUAGCCGGGAGAAACGACACGCUCUAACAUAGCGUGUGGAUGACGGUACCGGACCGAAGAAGACACCGGCUAACUACGUGCC